CAGAAAGGAUAUAGUACAUUCAGCUGGAAUUUUCAUUGGAAGCCAUAUCCAUCUAGGAUUGAAAGGAUGAUGGGGACGUAAUUCAGCAGAUACAUCUGGAGCAGCAGAUCUCCUCACUGACAGAGGCACUAGAAGAAAAGCGAAGUACAUUAUUGUAACUGGCUCUGUAAGAAGUCACCACCAAAUACUACAG